UACGUAGGCAGCGAGCGUUGUUCGGAGUUACUGGGCGUAAAGAGUGCGUAGCGGUUUCUAAGUUUGGUGUGAAUCUCCCGGCUUAACUGGGAGGUGCGCCGAAACUGGAAGGCUUGAGUAUGGGAGAGGUAAGCGGAAUUCCUGGUGUAGCGUGAAAUGCGUAGAUAUCAGGAGGAACACCUGCGGUGUAGACGGCUUACUGGACCAUAACUGACGCUGGAGGCACGAAAGCGUGGGUAGCAAACAGG
rnacentral:rRNA from 1 species